GACGAACGCUGGCGGCGUGCUUAACACAUGCAAGUCGAACGGGCCCGCCCCUGUUUUUGGGGGUGGGUUGAGUGGCGAACGGGUGAGUAUCACGUGAGUAACCUGCCCCCUGCUCCUGGAUAACUGCUUGAAAGGGCGGCUAAUACGGGGUGUGCCGGCUGGUCCGCAUGGGCCUGGUCGGGAUAGUUUCAUCUUCGGGUGUUUCGGUGGGGGAUGGGCUCGCGGCCUAUCAGCUUGUUGGUGGGGUGAUGGCCCACCAAGGCGGUGACGGGUAGCCGGCCUGAGAGGGUGGGCGGCCACGCUGGGACUGAGACACGGCCCAGACUCCUGCGGGAGGCAGCAGUGGGGGGUAUUGCACAAUGGGCGGAAGCCUGAUGCAGCGACGUCGCGUGAGGGAUGGAGGCCUUCGGGUUGUGAACCUCUUUCUCCGGUGGUGAAGGCCCUGUCCGUUGCGGCGGGGUUGACGGUAGCCGGGGAUGAAGCGCCGGCUAACUACGUG
rnacentral:rRNA from 1 species